CAGUCGCCGCGGUAAGACAGAGGAUGCAAGCGUUAUCCGGAAUGAUUGGGCGUAAAGCGUCUGUAGGUGGCUUUUCAAGUCCGCCGUCAAAUCCCAGGGCUCAACCCUGGACAGGCGGUGGAAACUACCAAGCUGGAGUACGGUAGGGGCAGAGGGAAUUUCCGGUGUAGCGGUGAAAUGCGUAGAUAUCGGAAGGAACACCUGUGGCGAAAGCGGCUCACUGGACAUUUACUGACGCUGAUGCACGAAAGCUAGGGGAGCAAACAGGAUUAGAUACCCCCGUAGUCCCUGUCUCUUAUAC
rnacentral:rRNA from 1 species